rnacentral:rRNA from 1 species
UACAGAGGUCUCAAGCGUUGUUCGGAUUCAUUGGGCGUAAAGGGUGCGUAGGCGGCGGGGCAAGUCAGGUGUGAAAUCCCGGUGGCACCACCGAUGACUGCACUUGAUACUGCUUUGCUAGAGUACUGGAGAGGAGAUUGGAAUUUACGGUGUAGCAGUGAAAUGCGUAGAUAUCGUAAGGAAGACCAGUGGCGAAGGCGAAUCUCUGGACAGUUACUGACGCUGAGGCACGAAGGCCAGGGGAGCAAACGGG